GAACGCUAGCGGCAGGCAACCUACAUGCAUGUCGAGCGGUAGCACAAAAGGGAGCUUGCUCUUUGGGUGACGAGCGGCGGAUUGGUGAGUAAUGUCUGGGAAACUGCCUGAUGGAGGGGAUAACUACUGGAUUACGGUAGCUAAUACCGCAUGACCUCGCAAGAGCAAAGUGGGGGACCUUCAAGCCUCACGCCAUCGGAUGUGCCCAGAUGGGAUUAGCUAGUAGGUGGGGUAAUGGCUCACCUAGGGACAAAUCCCUAGCUGGUCUGAGAGGAUGACCAGCCACACUGGAACUGAGACACAAUCCAGACUCCUACGGGAGGCAGCAGUGGGGAAUAUUGCACAAUGGGCGCAAGCCUGAUUUCAGCCAUGCCGCGUGUGUGAAGAAGGCCUUAGGGUUGUAAAGCACUUUCAGCGAGGAGGUUAGACGUUACUCAUUGGCAGAAGCACCGGCUAACUCCGUGCCAGCAGCCGCGGUAAUACGGAGCGUGCAAGCGUUAAUCGGAAUUACUGGGCGUUAAGGCGUUGUAGUUAAUAGCUGCAGCGAUUGCGCACGCAGGCGGUUUGUUAAGUCAGAUGUGAAAUCCCCGAGCUUAACUUGGGAAUUAGACCGAAACUGGCAAGCUAGAGUCUUGUAGAGGGUUGUAGAAUUCCAGGUGUAGCGGUGAAAUGCGUAGAGAUCUGGAGGGGUGGCAAUACCGAAGGCGGCCCUUUGGACAAAGACGGCGCUCAGGUGCGAAAGCGUGGGGAGCAAACAGGAUUAGAUACCCUGGUAGUCCACGCUGUAAUUGAUGUCGACUUGGAGGUUGUGCCCUUGAGGCGUGGCUUCCGGAGCUAACGCGUUAAGUCGACUGCCUGGGGAGUACGGCCGCAAGGUUAAUUCUCAAAUGAAUUGACGGGGGCCCGCACAAGCUUGUGGAGCAUGUGGUUUAAUUCGAUGCAACGCGAAGAACCAAACCUACUCAUGACAUCCACGGAAUUCGCUUAGAGAUAGCAUAGUGCCUUCGGGAACCGUGAGACAGGUGAUGCAUGGCUGUCGUCAGCUCGUGUUGUGAUAUGUUGGGUUAAGUCCCGCAACGAGCGCAACCCUUAUCCUAAGUUGCCAGCACGUAAUGUUGGGAACUCAAAGGAGACUGCCGGUGAUAAUCCGGAGGAAGGUGGGGAUGACGUCAAGUCAUCAUGGCCCUUACGAGUAUUGCUACACACGUGCUACAAUGGCAUAUACUAAGAGAAGCAAACUCGCGAGAGCAAGCGGACCUCAUAAAAUUUGUCGUAGUCCGGAUUGGAGUCUGCAACUCGACUCCAUGAAGUCGGUUUCGCUAGUAAUCGUAGAUCAGAAUGCUACGGUGAAUACGUCCCGGGCCUUGUACACACCGCCCGUCACAUUAUGGGAGUGGGUUGCAAAAGAAGUAGGUAGCUUAACCUUCGGGAGGGCGCUUACCACUUUGUGAUUCAUGACUGGGGUGAAGUCGU
rnacentral:rRNA from 1 species